UACGUAGGGUGCGAGCGUUGUCCGGAAUUAUUGGGCGUAAAGAGCUCGUAGGCGGUGUGUCGCGUCGGCCGUGGAAAACCUGGGGCUUAACUCUGGGCGUGCGGUCGAUACGGGCAUCACUAGAGUUCGGCAGGGGAGACUGGAAUUCCCGGUGUAGCGGUGAAAUGCGCAGAUAUCGGGAAGAACACCUAUGGCGAAGGCAGCUCUCUGGGACGGUACUGA
rnacentral:rRNA from 1 species